GGGAUUGUGGCUCAGUGGUAGAGCAUUUGCCUGGUAUGUGUGAGGCCCUGGGUUCGAUCCUUAGCACCA
rnacentral:tRNA from 1 species